GACAGAGGUGCCAAGCGUUAGGCGGAAUCACUGGGCUUAAAGCGCACGUAGGCGGACUAUUAAGUCAGGGGUGAAAUCCCGGGGCUCAACCCCGGAACUGCCUUUGAUACUGGUAGUCUCGAGUCCGGAAGAGGUGAGUGGAAUUCCGAGUGUAGAGGUGAAAUUCGUAGAUAUUCGGAGGAACACCAGUGGCGAAGGCGGCUCACUGGUCCGGUACUGACGCUGAGGUGCGAAAGCGUGGGGAGCAAACAGG
rnacentral:rRNA from 1 species